GGGGGUAGCAAUACCUGCCGGCGACCGGCAAACGGGUGCGGAACACGUACGCAACCUUCCCAGAACAGGUGAAUAGCCCUCCGAAAGGAGGAUUAAUACACCGUAAGAUAUAGAGAUGGCAUCAUUUUUAUAUAAUAGGCAGCAAUGUCGGUUUUGGAUGGGCGUGCGGCUGAUUAGGUAGUUGGCGGGGUAACGGCCCACCAAGCCUCCGAUCAGUAACUGGUGUGAGAGCACGACCAGUCACACGGGCACUGAGACACGGGCCCGACUCCUACGGGAGGCAGCAGUAAGGAAUAUUGGUCAAUGGACGCAAGUCUGAACCAGCCAUGCCGCGUGAAGGAUGAAGGCCCUCUGGGUUGUAAACUUCUUUUAUCUGGGACGAAAAAAGGGGAUUCUUCCUCACUUGACGGUACCAGAGGAAUAAGCACCGGCUAACUCCGUGCCAGCAGCCGCGGUAAUACGGAGGGUGCAAGCGUUAUCCGGAUUUACUGGGUUUAAAGGGUGCGUAGGUGGGCAGGUAAGUCAGUGGUGAAAUCUUCAAGCUUAACUUGGAAACUGCCAUUGAUACUAUUUGUCUUGAAUUAUCUGGAGGUAAGCGGAAUAUGUCAUGUAGCGGUGAAAUGCUUAGAUAUGACAUAGUACACCCAUUGCGAAGGCAGCUUACUACGGAUAUAUUGACACUGAGGCACGAAAGCGUGGGGAUCAAACAGGAUUAGAUACCCUGGUAGUCCACGCCCUAAACGAUGGAUACUCGACAUCAGCGAUACACAGUUGGUGUCUGAGCGAAAGCAUUAAGUAUCCCACCUGGGAAGUACGACCGCAAGGUUGAAACUC
rnacentral:rRNA from 1 species